rnacentral:lncRNA from 1 species
ACCAUUAUUCACGACCAAACAGCACCUGAAUGGGGAAGGCCUGGUGUAGAGCAUGACAUUCCGCCUGCAAAGCAAAUAAGGAAACAUCUAGUUGUGUUAUUGCAAAGAGACAGAAAAUUUAAACAAACAAGUAUUGCUAAUUAUAUUUCAUUGAUUAGCAUAAUCAUAUAAAGAUAACAUGGAGCAUGUUAUCCAACACUUUAUUACGAAUACUAUCAGGAAGCAUCAGAAACUAUUAUGCAACAAUUGAUAUGCAGGAAAUAAUUAGCAUCUCUUCCUGAAUCUUGUGAGAAUCAGUAAAAGAUAUAGUCCUCCUAACAAUUCAAAAGCCUCAUCCAAAUUCCUAAUUUUACAAGUCCAAGAAGUUACCAAUUUGGACAAAUAUAUAGCUAGCUAAUUGUGGUAGCUAAAAUUUUUUUCAUAAAAAAAAAUUAACACAAUGAGGAAAAAAUAGAAACUUAACAUAAAACAAAGUUGAACAUUGAUGUAACUAAGCAUUGGAAGUAGAAAUACAAGACGAACAGAAUAAAUAAUUUUAGCAUAGGAAACCUCUUUCUCCCUUUCUACAACAUAUCGCAUGUCACAUCGUUACAAAUAUCGAAUUAAAUAACAAAUGCUCUGAUUAAUUUAAAUACUAUAUACACAAACUAUAACCUAACUCUAUACAAACAAAUAAAUAAAAAUGUACCUCUACUAACUCGCAGUGGGCUUGAGUCUACAAAGAGCAACUCUAAUGUUACGUUGCACCCCAUAAAACACCUUCACCUGGAAGAUUUUCGGCUCAGCUUCACCGUCAACUGCUUGGAAGGUAACAUAGUACCAAAGUCCUGCUGCGACGCUACAC